AGGGACUUAGGCUAAACAUUUAAACCAGUAGCCUUCAAAGCUACAACCAAGAGCUAAAAACCUCUUAGUCCCUG
rnacentral:tRNA from 1 species